CGAUCUGGCUCAGGAUGAACGCUAGCGGCAGGCUUAACACAUGCAAGUCGAGGGGCAGCGGGAUGUAGCAAUACAUUGCCGGCGACCGGCGGAUGGGUGCGUAACGCGUAUGCAACCUACCUUAUACAGGGGAAUAACCUUUCGAAAGGGAGACUAACACCCCAUAGUAUUGAUUUAAGGCAUCUUAGAUUAAUUAAAUAUUUAUAGGUAUAAGAUGGGCAUGCGUAUGAUUAGCUAGUUGGUAAGGUAACGGCUUACCAAGGCGACGAUCAUUAGGGGUUCUGAGAGGAAGGUCCCCCCACACUGGUACUGAGACACGGACCAGACUCCUACGGGAGGCAGCAGUGAGGAAUAUUGGUCAAUGGGCGCAAGCCUGAACCAGCCAUGCCGCGUGCAGGAAAGACGGCCUUAUGGGUUGUAAACUGCUUUUACAUAAGACUAACCGUAUAUUUGCGAAUAUACCUGAAUGUAUUAUGAGAAUAAGGAUCGGCUAACUCCGUGCCAGCAGCCGC
rnacentral:rRNA from 1 species